GUUGGGUAGGGGAGCGUUCUGUAAGCCUGCGAAGGUGUACUGUGAGGUAUGCUGGAGGUAUCAGAAGUGCGAAUGCUGACAUAAGUAACGAUAAUGCGGGUGAAAAACCCGCACGCCGGAAGACCAAGGGUUCCUGUCCAACGUUAAUCGGGGCAGGGUGAGUCGACCCCUAAGGCGAGGCUGAAAAGCGUAGUCGAUGGGAAACGGGUUAAUAUUCCCGUACUGGUGGUAACUGCGAUGGGGGAACGGAGAAGGCUAGGUUGUCCGGGCGACGGUCGUCCCGGUUCAAGCAGGUAGGCAGAGUGAUUAGGCAAAUCCGGUCACUUAAUGCUGAGAUGUGAUGACGAACCACUAAGGUGGUGAAGCAAUUGAUGCCCCGCUUCCAGGAAAAGCCUCUAAGCUUCAGGUUACCAACAAUCGUACCCCAAACCGACACAGGUGGUCAGGUAGAGAAUACUCAGGCGCUUGAGAGAACUCGGGUGAAGGAACUAGGCAAAAUGGUGCCGUAACUUCGGGAGAAGGCACGCUGGCGGUAGGUAAAGUCCCUCGCGGACGGCGCUGAAGCCAGUCGAAGAUACCAGCUGGCUGCAACUGUUUAUUAAAAACACAGCACUGUGCAAACACGAAAGUGGACGUAUACGGUGUGACGCCUGCCCGGUGCUGGAAGGUUAAUUGAUGGGGUCAGCCGCAAGGCGAAGCUCCUGAUCGAAGCCCCAGUAAACGGCGGCCGUAACUAUAACGGUCCUAAGGUAGCGAAAUUCCUUGUCGGGUAAGUUCCGACCUGCACGAAUGGCGUAAUGAUGGCCAGGCUGUCUCCACCCGAGACUCAGUGAAAUUGAACUCGCUGUGAAGAUGCAGUGUACCCGCGGCAAGACGGAAAGACCCCGUGAACCUUUACUAUAGCUUGACACUGAACAUUGAGCCUUGAUGUGUAGGAUAGGUGGGAGGCUUUGAAGUGUGGACGCCAGUCUGCAUGGAGCCAACCUUGAAAUACCACCCUUUAACGUUUGAUGUUCUAACCUAGGCCCAUAAACUGGGUCGGGGACCGUGUCUGGUGGGUAGUUUGACUGGGGCGGUCUCCUCCUAAAGAGUAACGGAGGAGCACGAAGGUUGGCUAAGCAUGGUCGGACAUCAUGCGGUUAGUGCAAAGGCAUAAGCCAGCUUGACUGCGAGAGUGACGGCUCGAGCAGGUACGAAAGUAGGUCUUAGUGAUCCGGUGGUUCUGAAUGGAAGGGCCAUCGCUCAACGGAUAAAAGGUACUCCGGGGAUAACAGGCUGAUACCGCCCAAGAGUUCAUAUCGACGGCGGUGUUUGGCACCUCGAUGUCGGCUCAUCACAUCCUGGGGCUGAAGUAGGUCCCAAGGGUAUGGCUGUUCGCCAUUUAAAGUGGUACGCGAGCUGGGUUUAGAACGUCGUGAGACAGUUCGGUCCCUAUCUGCCGUGGGCGUUGGAAGAUUGAGAGGGGUUGCUCCUAGUACGAGAGGACCGGAGUGAACGCACCACUGGUGUUCGGGUUGUCAUGCCAAUGGCAUUGCCCGGUAGCUAAGUGCGGAAGAGAUAACCGCUGAAAGCAUCUAAGCGGGAAACUUGCCUCGAGAUGAGUCUUCCCUGUCGCUUUAAGCGACCUAAAGGAACGUUUAAGACUAAGACGUUGAUAGGCUGGGUGUGUAAGCGUAGCGAUACGUUGAGCUAACCAGUACUAAUGAACCGUGAGGCUUAACCUG
rnacentral:rRNA from 1 species